GCAGUGUCUUUAUGAUGUAAUGGGCCUGUGCUGGCAGAGCUGAAAUUGCUCACUUUGGGGAGGGGCAGGAACUCUUCCAGGCCAUUACGGUCCACUAAGUAAGUUGCCUUUGCCAAGGUGAAAUGGUUCCCUCGUGACUUGAAAACUGAACUAUCAUCUACCGUUUCAUAAAGCAUUUCAGUGCCCUGGGCCAUGACCUUCCUCUUCCCUCUCCAUGAAACAUCUGCAGCAGGGCUGCCAUACUUCAGGCCAAAAGACUGGCAGAACAGCAGUAUCUCAGGAGGGUGGGAGUUCAUGCCAGAGGAGGCUGGGGCAAGGGGAGGGUGGAGAAGAGAUGACCUGGAGCUACAGGAGGGGCCUCAAGGUUCAGACAGAGAGGACCCUAGCCCUGGCUCCAGUCUGGGCAUUUCUUGAUUCCAGCCAUCCACUGAAUCACCUACAGGAAGUCAGCUCACAAUUCUGGCCCUCAGAUUUCUCAUAUACAAAGUGAGAAGGUAAUUGCCAAGUUCAUAGUCAGCUCUGAAAUGCCAUGAUGAUAAAAAGAAGAAGAAACUGCGUGGGGCUUUUGUAAUGGCUGGGGCGGCUCGCGGCUGGGCUGUGAUCAUCCGUCUCUGUUUCCAGUCUGGAAGCCCCCUCAGCUGACAUUAUCGCCGCGGGACAGACCAAGACCUAGAUGAGGUUUUCAUCCAGGCAGCAAAAACAAAACAAAUGAAGCAGGCUGAUUAUUUUUACGUGGAGCUUGGAGGCCCAGAGGAAAAAGGUUUUUGAGCAUAAAUCUUGAGUGCUAAAGAGAUGCCGUCCAUCAGCCAGAAUCAAAGGGGACAAAGAACUCUGAACCCAGAACACACAGUUCCAGACAUCAUCCCAACCAAA